AGGCUGCUGGUAUCCUUACUUUCCUGGCCAAGAACCCACCUUGCCUGGGGAUAUCGAUUUGUUGCUUCAGGUUUGUAGAGAAAACAACAACCAUGGGUCUAGAAGAAUGCUAUUCACAUCGAUAUCUGCUGGUAAAUAUCCUUACUUUCCUGGCCAAGAACCCACUUUGCUUGGGGAUAUCGAUUUGUUGCUUCAGACAAAAGCACAUUUCAUCAUUUUGAUAAGUUCAAUCUGAAGUACAACCACUGUGGUCAAAGUAGGCUCAGGGAGAUUUUCCUUAAGCAGGAUAAUCUUAUCCAAGGCUGUUUCCUUGCUGAGCUGACAAAGCAAGUGUUUUCUGAUCUUUCUGCCAGUAAAUAUCAGGUGCUUUCAUGCUCUGCUACUUUUGUAUAGGUUUUAGUGGUUUUAUUUCCCUUUUUUUUUUAAUCAUCAAUUAUGAAGAAUGCUAGACUGCUAGUGUGGAUUAACGCUCCAACUAUUAAUUAAUUCAUACAUACUUUAAUUUCCCAAUCUGUUGGAUAUAAAUACUAGUGUUUAUAAUAAUUUAGAUAUCUGGAUCAAGUUUAGGUUUCUGAAUUAUCCUUCCUUGCCUCUCUGAAUGUUCAUUGAUAUGGAACAAAUGACCACUCCCUCUCCAUUCCUUCUUGUUUGUUUGUCUUUCUUAUUUCUCUGCAUGUCCA